rnacentral:misc_RNA from 1 species
UUGGAAGCAGUUGAAAUACUUGAACAAACGGCACUUGCAGAAGAGCUUCCUGCAGAAGUGGACCUUUCAAAGCAUUGAUUGUCUGGUUUAACAAGUGCAAAUGUUGGAUCACAAGAUACACCAUUAGGUAACAGCUUUGUCAUCUUUUGCCCUUCCCCAUCAGCCUUGGUGGUUUCUGAAAGGCAUAAAUUGGAGAUUGAACUUGAGCUUUGAACUUCAUCAUCACUCUUCUCCAUUUGAAGUUCAUACUUGUGUUUGUGAUGAUCCUGCUCGCCUUGUGACCAGUUAUCUCCAAUCUGUCUUCCAAUAACUGCAGAAUCAAAAGCUUCUUCACUUUUUGAAAUAUUAAUUGAAAUAUUUA